AUUGAACGCUGGCGGCAUGCUUUACACAUGCAAGUCGAACGGUAACAGGCCGCAAGGUGCUGACGAGUGGCGAACGGGUGAGUAAUGCAUCGGAACGUGCCCAGUCGUGGGGGAUAACGCAGCGAAAGCUGCGCUAAUACCGCAUACGAUCUAUGGAUGAAAGCGGGGGACCGUAAGGCCUCGCGCGAUUGGAGCGGCCGAUGUCAGAUUAGGUAGUUGGUGGGGUAAAGGCUCACCAAGCCAACGAUCUGUAGCUGGUCUGAGAGGACGACCAGCCACACUGGGACUGAGACACGGCCCAGACUCCUACGGGAGGCAGCAGUGGGGAAUUUUGGACAAUGGGCGCAAUCCUGAUCCAGCAAUGCCGCGUGCAGGAAGAAGGUCUUCGGGUUGUAAACUGCUUUUGUACGGAACGAAACGGCUCUGGUUAAUACCUGGGGCUAAUGACGGUACCGUAAGAAUAAGCACCGGCUAACUACGUGCCAGCCGCCGCCGUAAGAC
rnacentral:rRNA from 1 species